UGGUAGAUGCACCUUGAUCUUCAAUUCCCCCGGUUGGCUUUACACCCAAGUCGGGGGUUUUUUAU
rnacentral:sRNA from 1 species